GCAUGCGGUCCAAAAAAUCACGCAGUUCGUCAUUCGGUCGGUCUGAUGAUGCAUCGGUGCCAGAGGCAGUUAGGACAUCCAUGAGCAUGAUGCAAGAUCAGAUUAGUUACUGGAUGAAUCGUAGUCAGACGCUCGAGAGGAUAGUAGCUGCGGUGGCGGGACGGCUCGGUAUUGAUGCUUCUGAGUUAGCACCUCUACAGUCACAUGAUG
rnacentral:lncRNA from 1 species